AUUGAACGCUGGCGGCAUGCUUUACACAUGCAAGUCGAACGGUAACAGGUUAAGCUGACGAGUGGCGAACGGGUGAGUAAUGCAUCGGAACGUGCCCGAUCGUGGGGGAUAACGCAGCGAAAGCUGCGCUAAUACCGCAUACGAUCUGAGGAUGAAAACGGGGGACCGUAAGGCCUCGCGCGAUCGGAGCGGCCGAUGUCAGAUUAGGUAGUUGGUGGGGUAAAGGCCCACCAAGCCGACGAUCUGUAGCUGGUCUGAGAGGACGACCAGCCACACUGGGACUGAGACACGGCCCAGACUCCUACGGGAGGCAGCAGUGGGGAAUUUUGGACAAUGGGCGAAAGCCUGAUGCAGCAAUGCCGCGUGCAGGAAGAAGGCCUUCGGGUUGUAAACUGCUUUUGUACGGAGCGAAAAGGCCCUUUCUAAUACAAGGGGCUCAUGACGGUACCGUAAGAAUAAGCACCGGCUAACUACGUGCCAGCAGCCGCGGUAA
rnacentral:rRNA from 1 species